ACGGGGGGGGCAAGCGUUGUUCGGAAUUACUGGGCGUAAAGGGCUCGUAGGUGGCCAACUAAGUCAGACGUGAAAUCCCUCGGCUUAACCGGGGAACUGCGUCUGAUACUGGAUGGCUUGAGUUUGGGAGAGGGACGCGGAAUUCCAGGUGUAGCGGUGAAAUGCGUAGAUAUCUGGAGGAACACCGGUGGCGAAGGCGGCAUCCUGGCCAUGUCCUGACGCUCAGGGGCGAAAGCGUGGGGAGCAAACCGGA
rnacentral:rRNA from 1 species